AUUGAACGCUGGCGGCAGGCCUAACACAUGCAAGUCGAGCGAGCGGCGGACGGGUGAGUACUGUCUGGGAAACUGCCUGAUGGAGGGGGAUAACUACUGGAAACUGUAGCUAAUACCGCGUACCAUAGGAUGAGCCCAAGUGGGAUUAGGUAGUUGGUGAGGUAAAGGCUCACCAAGCCGACGAUCUCUAGCUGGUCUGAGAGGAUGACCAGCCACACGUGGACUGAGACACGGCCCAGACUCCUACGGGAGGCAGCAGUGGGGAAUAUUGCGCAAUGGGGGCAACCCUGACGCAGCCAUGCCGCGUGAAUGAAGAAGGCCUUCGGGUUGUAAAGUUCUUUCGGUAGCGAGGCGUUAACUACAGAAGAAGCACCGGCUAACUCCGUGCCAGCAGCCGCGGUAAUUC
rnacentral:rRNA from 1 species